rnacentral:misc_RNA from 1 species
GAUGAAGAACGCAGCGAAAUGCGACAAGUAAUGUGAAUUGCAGAAUUCCGUGAGUCAUCGAAUCUUUGAACGCACAUUGCGCCCUGUGGUAUUCCGCAGGGCAUGCCUGUUCGAGCGUCAUUUCAACCCUCAAGCUCUGCUUGGUGUUGGGCCCUGCCCGCUGCGGCCGGCCCUAAAGACAGUGGCGGUGCCGCCUGGCCCUGAGCGUAGUACAUCUCUCGCUCCAGUGCCCGGUGGUAGCCUGCCAGAACCCCAACUCUCGUGGUUGACCUCGGAUCAGGUAGGGAUACCCGCUGAACUUAAGCAUAUCAAUAAGCGGAGGA